CUUGCUUCUCUUGAGAGCGGCGGACGGGUGAGUAAUGCCUAGGAAUCUGCCUGGUAGUGGGGGAUAACGCUCGGAAACGGACGCUAAUACCGCAUACGUCCUACGGGAGAAAGCAGGGGACCUUCGGGCCUUGCGCUAUCAGAUGAGCCUAGGUCGGAUUAGCUAGUUGGUGAGGUAAUGGCUCACCAAGGCGACGAUCCGUAACUGGUCUGAGAGGAUGAUCAGUCACACUGGAACUGAGACACGGUCCAGACUCCUACGGGAGGCAGCAGUGGGGAAUAUUGGACAAUGGGCGAAAGCCUGAUCCAGCCAUGCCGCGUGUGUGAAGAAGGUCUUCCGAUUGU
rnacentral:rRNA from 1 species